rnacentral:lncRNA from 1 species
GUAUGUAGAGCUUCACUCGACUAUCAAUUGGGGAGAAUGACCAGAGAAUAUUGCACUUGUUCAAGUCGCACUUCUGUUAUGAUGGUCAUUGUUCCCUAGAACUGUUUCUUCUUGCUACGCUCUAGCGCUUUUGAGAUUUGAAUCUUUGUUACAAGAAAUGUCCGACUAAUAACUGUCUUUCCAAUAUAUGUUCCGUUUUUUCGUAGGCAAAUUAGGUAUGAUAUUAAAUAUUUUGAUGGAGAGCGCGCUGUGGUCGAGACUAGCAGCAACGGUAAAGCGACAAUUACAAGUCUUUAACAAGGACGGUCAAAGCAGUGAAACGACCAACCUUGCUAAAACGAGUGCCAACGAUCCGCUUCCUCUGCCUACAUUACCAAAAGCAUCCCCGAAUUAACUAUAUAUACUAUAUAUGGCGCACACACACUUUGUUUGUUAUCAAGAAAUGAAAUUUUAAUUUUGCUUUAUAUUUGUUUACCUGAGUUUUCUUCUAAAGAGGACUGAUUCGAAGUUGCUUCUUGGAGUAGAAGCUGGUGAACUCAACUUUUUAGCCUUUCGCAGUUUUUUCUCAGCCUCCCUCAACCUG